GAUGAACGCUGGCGGCGUGCCUAAUACAUGCAAGUCGAGCGAACGGACGAUACGCUUGCUUCUUUCUUGUUAGCCGCGGAGGGGUGUGUAACAUGUGGAUAACCUACCUGUAAUACUGGGAUAACUUCGGAAAACCGGAGCUAAUCCCGGAUAAUCUUUUGCACCGCAUUGUUCAAAAGUGAGAGACGGCCUUGCUGUCACUUAUCGCUGGAUCUGCGCUGCAUUAGCUAGUUGUUAAGGUAACGGCUUACCAAGGCAACGAUGCAUAGCCGACCUGAGAGGGUGAUCGGCCACCCUGGAGCUGAGACACGGUCCAGACUACUACGGGAGGCAGCAGAAGGCAAUCGUCCGCAAAGGGCGAAAGCCUGACGGAGCAACGCCGAGUGAGAGAUGAAGGUCUUCGGAUCGUAAAGCCCUGUUAUUAGUGAAGAACAUAUGUGUAAGUAACUGAGCACAUCUUGACGGUAACUAAUCAGAAAGCAACGGCUAACUACGUG
rnacentral:rRNA from 1 species